UUUAUGCUUGUGAACUUGAUUGGUUACUUUAAUUCACUAAUACGUGAACCUUUCCGGUGGAUUAUGGUGAAUUAGUGGUCAAUCAAGGUUUAUGUAGGAACUAGGAUUCUCAACGAAGAAUCAAUGGCCGUUAUUAGUUUAGCUUAUAUUAAGAAUCAGAAUGAUUGAUCAACAUGGCCCACCAAAAUUUCUUUUGAAAAUUGUUUGUUACGAAGAAGUUGAAAUCAGACAUGCAUUAUUUUGUAAAAUAAAUGGGUAGCACGUGUUAGUGGUUCCAACAUGAACAUGCACAAUCUCAGAUCUGGCAGGUCCAUUAAUCAAGUGGGCCACACAAGUAUGUUGAAAUUGAAAUCUCAAAAUUCACUAUU